UCCACCUCCACUUGGUACAGUCUGGUUCCCUCUUGUAUUAAUGACAUUGGAUUCUUCCACUUCCUGUUUGUCAGUCGGACCUUUGAUUGGGAGGAAACGAGGACCUGAGCGCGCGCUUCAAACAGCUCGGAGUCCAGUGUUGUCCCACCUGUCUUCGUCUCUUCAGGGCCUGUGGACCAUCCGAGCCUUUGGAGCAGAGGAGAGGUUCCAGAAAGCCUUCAAUGCCCAGCAGGACCUGCACUCAGAGGCCUGGUUACUGUUGCUGACCACUUCUCGCUGGUUCGCUGUCCGUCUCCACGGCAUCUGCUCCAUCUUUGUUACCGUCACCACCUUUGGCUGCCUGCUGCUCAGAGACCGUGCAGCUGAAGUCCGCGGUGGAGGAGCUGCCGGGCAGUUGGAGACGGUUCUGGCCGAGUCGGGCUCCAACUUCAGCGUGGGCCAGAGGCAGCCACGGCCAACGUGGACCCCAGGACAGAUGAGCUGAUCCCUCAUCGUCUCAACACCAUCAUAGACAGCGACAGGAUACCGACUGGCGCAGUCUCGGACGUGUUUGGGGAGCGACUUCCAGAGGGACGGGACAGCUACGGAGAAUGCUCUGUCGCCCCAGGUCCAGUGCUUGGAGACAGUAGCCGAGGCUGCAGGAAGGAGUGUGGCGGCGGAGAAGGUAAGUCAUUAAAACACCACACCAUAGUAUAGUAUGCUCUAAAA